rnacentral:lncRNA from 1 species
UAGGAGUUCCUCUCUUGAGAUCAUAUAGAUGAUCCAAGUGGCUCCCAUCCUUUGGAAUAAGCAAGCACAAGGCAUAAGCAAUCAAACAAGUCUCAUAAGAGAUCCUCAAUGCAUCUUGUAUAUUCCACUUGGAUGAACAUGAUAAUAAUCCUUCAAUUAAGCUCAAAUGGAAACUCCUAGUUCAAGAGCACACACAUCAAAA